AAAAAAAAAACUUGCCGCACACACAAGCGGCGACUCUCCUGGGUCAGAGGUGGCGUGGCGGCGUGGAGAGGCUGCGAAUCAAUCCUCUCUCUUUGGAACGGCGGUGGCGGGCGACUGCAUCCUCGGCGCUAGCGGGGAAUCAGCUUCCACUUGUGUGCUAAGCAGACCAGAUCAAUAAAGAGAUGAAGAGCAAAGGCACGUCGGUUCGCAGAGCGCUUGUUCAUCCUGGAUAUUAUCACCAAACAGAAGGAUGCAAUUGUGAGUCCCCACCUGCUAUUGGACCCUGAAUCCUUUGUUUUUUGCAACCAAUGAUUUCCACCUGCUAUUGUUGUAUGCAUAUUGCUUCUGAUUUGCAAGGUCCUCAGUAUCUGUUGAUUGUCUGCCAAACAAUAGUGAAUGCCCACUCUGAAAACUUGUUUUUCUUUUUGGUUAGAUGAUGCAUGAUCACUUUUUUUCUCCUACAGUUUCAGGAAGGUGGGGUGGUGCUUUUUUUCUUCUUCUGUAGAGCAAGCACAUCUAUAGACUUCCAUUGCUUGAUGUUGCUUUGUUAAUAGGACACCCCACACUCGUUCUAAUGGACAAAUGUUAAUACUUCUAUAUAACCAUGCUUAUGCCUACUAUUUGUGAUACUAAGGACUACUUGUGUACGAUUGAGUUCCUUGUUCUAUUUCCAAUCACUAGCAAUUCAGUUCUGACCAUGUAUUGUUGCAAUCUAUUUAUGUUUUGAAUUAUUUGCUAACAAUUUAGGGACGGUCCCCUGCUUUAUCUUGAUUCUUUCAUGUACCUGGGUAAUAAGAGUCGUCUUUUCUGAUUUUAUUGUUUUGCUUCACAUGUACCCGGAGCUGCAAAAAUGCCUCUUCUGUGAACCCGGUCAUGAGAAGAAAUUUAUUUGAAAACAAAAUAAGGAGGAGAGAACAAAUAAUCCUGAUGUGCAACUGUUUUUAGUACCUAUGCAAUCGGUGUGCUUGAUGUGUUGCUGGUUGACCAUACAAGCACUAACAUUUGGAUAUCAUCUUCGAUGUCAGAAUGUCGAGUCUGUUAUAUUCAUAUAAAGAGAGAAUAAUGAAGAAGUGUUGCUGCUGUUUAUCUUGUAUCAUGCUUGCAGCAGAGAAGCACUGCAUUUGUUUGGUCGUCUGAACAUGACGGCAGUAUCAAGCUCUUUGUUUGGACAUCACACAUAGCAGAAUCCCUCCCAGGGACAUCCAGCCAGACUUCUUGGUCUUCUUCAAGAAUUUGAACAUGUACACGGGAUUGAGUGCCAUGUAAACCUGAGGGUUCCAGUAGAUGAUAUUGUACACGCCGAGCGCGCUCAUGCAGAUCAGCCAGGCCAGAAUUAUCGGAGCGAAGAGAAAUCCGACGCGGUGGGUGCCGUAAUGCUGGAGAGCGAACAGGAACACUAUUAUGGCACAGGUUAUCGGAGUGACGGCAUCUGCAUGAAAGCAACAACAAGAAGAGGAAAUGAGCAUGGCAGAACAAGUGAAUAAAGUAUCAAGGAAACCUCUCCAGGCAGUUCAGUUUGUGACAGAAAUUUCAGACAUAAAAGUCAUCAUAUAGUCCUGCUAGACCGUGCUGAUAACUGGGAGUGUUUGGGCCAGUUAAGAAUUGGAGUAGGCUCACAUUCGUGCUGAUGCUUGGACAAGGAGAGCUCAAGCCCAGAAACAGCCGAGAACACUGCAAUUGCAACAGACAAAAAUCGACAGCAGUACCAAUAAGUAACUGCUCCCUGAACUGAAGAGCCAACUGAAUGAAUAAUAAAAAGCCAAUAAAAAAGAAAGAAGAUGGAUG